GGGGUACAGGUGGGAAGGCACCGCG
rnacentral:piRNA from 1 species